CCUUUUUCUUUUUUUUUUUUCCCUUGAUAUAUUCCCUUAAAAAAAAAAAGGAAAGAAAAAAAAGAAAGAAGAUGUUUUAAAAAUGCAAGCGGCUUGCCCAGCUGCACACACCCACCCUCGCCUCCCUCCCCCGGCUUGCGCACACCGCACGCUCGCACUCGCUCGCUCGACCGCGCUCGCUCGGGUGUCAAAACCCGACGGGCACCCAGCCUGGUGCGGGCACUGCCCCUGCCCCUUCCCCUGCCCCGAGCCCGCCCGGGGGCCGCCGCUUCCCGUUCCCAACCACCCCCCCCCCCCGGUCCUUCUUCCGCCUCCCACCGCAGCGCUUCUCCCCCUGCUCUUGGCGCUGAAGAUGGAGCUUCCCCCGCUUCCAAAUGUUAUGGUGCAUAUUGACUCCAUGGACUACCCAGACAAGUAAUGCGGUGGGUAAGGGGUAGCCUCCAGCAGCAACUGUUGAAGGAUGGUUUGGGCUUCUGAGACACAAGGAGGGAUUUGCUCUGGCACAGGUUGUUUCUUGCUGCUGACUCUCAGACCAUGGUCAAACAGCCAACACGCUGACCAACACUCUGCAGUUUGCUGCUGUAUGCCUUUGGAAGACGGGACAGAAGGGGUGCCCUUUGGUGUCCUAUAUGGCAAAGAGGAGGAUACGCUAAGUCAGCUCCUGGGAGAAGUCUCCAAACAGCUCCCUCUGGCUACUACUACAAGAAGCUGAACCGAUGGCUUUCCUUCCCUGGAAGCUGUGUGUGAUGAUCACAGGCCAUUAUAUGCUUCUCACUUGACUGCCCUGCUGGUAACUCCACUUUUAAGAUGAAUUAUGCAAGAAAUGCUGUGAAGCAUCAGACAUUCAGGAUCAUGAAGAGUCCUCUUUCAAUGUAUGAACUCAUUUCUGGAUAAAGUCUGAGACUCACCUGGAUUCCAGCUUCUCGGAAAGGACAAAACAAAUGGGAAGGAUCAAAAAACAGUCGGUGGACUUUGGUUUUCCUGUGCCUGUGUGCUUGUAUCAUGUCUGAACUUGCAAAGAAUAUCCUUGGUUAUUCACAAGGAAUCCAGUAAAUGGUGAAUCUGUAAAUCAGUUACUU
rnacentral:lncRNA from 14 species